GUGCCAGCCGCCGCGGUAAUUCCAGCUCCAAUAGCGUAUAUUAAAGUUGUUGCAGUUAAAAAGCUCGUAGUUGAACCUUGGGCCUGGCUGGCCGGUCCGCCUCACCGCGUGUACUGGUCCGGCCGGGCCUUUCCUUCUGGGGAACCUCAUGCCCUUCACUGGGCGUGUUGGGGAACCAGGGCUUUUACUUUGAAAAAAUUAGAGUGUUCAAAGCAGGCCUUUGCUCGAAUACAUUAGCAUGGAAUAAUAGAAUAGGACGUGUGGUUCUAUUUUGUUGGUUUCUAGGACCGCCGUAAUGAUUAAUAGGGAUAGUCGGGGGCAUCAGUAUUCAAUCGUCAGAGGUGAAAUUCUUGGAUUGAUUGAAGACUAACUACUGCGAAAGCAUUUGCCAAGGAUGUUUUCAUUAAUCAGUGAACGGAAGUUAGGGGAUCGAAGACGAUCAGAUACCGUCGUAGUCUUAACCAUAAACUAUGCCGACUAGGGAUCGGACGGUGUUAGUAUUUUGACCCGUUCGGCACCUUACGAGAAAUCAAAGUUUUUGGGUUCUGGGGGGAGUAUGGUCGCAAGGCUGAAACUUAAAGAAAUUGACGGGAAGGGCACCACCAGGCGUGGAGCCUGCGGCUUAAUUUGACUCAACACGGGGAAACUCACCAGGUCCAGACACAAUAAGGAUUGACAGAUUGAGAGCUCUUUCUUGAUUUUGUGGGUGGUGGUGCAUCGACGUUCUUAGGUUGGUGGAGUGGAUUUGGUCUGCUUAAGUGCGAUAACGAACGAGACCUUAACCUGCUAAUAGCCAGGCUGCUUUGGCGGGUCGCUGGCUUCUUAGAAGGGACUUAUCGGCU
rnacentral:rRNA from 1 species